UAAAUACAACGAACGCAGGCGGCAGGCUAACAUUUGACAGUCGAGCGCGCCUUCGGGUGAGCGGCGGACGGGUUAGUAACGCGAACGUGCCCUUCUCUACGGAAUAGCCUCUGGAAACGGAGAGUAAUACCGUAUACGCCCUUUGGGGGAAAGAUUUAUCUGGAGAAGGAUCGGCCCGCUGUUAGAUUAGGUAGUUGGUGGGGUAACGGCCUACCAAGCCUACGAUCUAUAGCUGGUAUUAGAGGAUGAUCAGCAACACUGGGACUGAGACACGGCCCAGACUCCUACGGGGAGGCAGAAGUGGGGAAUCUAAAACAUGGGUGAACCCUGAUCU
rnacentral:rRNA from 1 species